AACGAACGCUGGCGGCAUGCCUAACACAUGCAAGUCGAACGAGACCUUCCGGCUUUUUUGCGCACGGGUGGGUAACGCGUGGUAACCUGCCCGUAAGUUCGGUAUACUUCCCCUAAAGAUGUGCUAAUACCGGAGAAUGUCUUCGGACCAAAGAUUUUUUGCCGUUGGGUGGGCGCUGGUUGGAUUAGCUAGUUGGUAGGGGAAAAGCCUACCAAGGAGACGUUCCUUAGCUGGUCUGAGAGGAUGAUCAGCCAGACUGGGACUGAGACACAGCCCAGACUCGUACGGGAGGGAGCAGUAGGGAAUAUUGGGCACUGGGCGAAAGCGUGAUCCAGCCAUGCCGCGUGAGUGAUGAAGGCCUUAGGAUUGUAAAGCUGUUUUACCCGGGAUGAUAAUGACAGUACCGGGAGAAUAAGCUCCGGCUAACUACGUG
rnacentral:rRNA from 1 species